rnacentral:rRNA from 1 species
GAAUGAACGCUGGCGGCGUGCUUUACACAUGCAAGUCGAGCGAGGCGGGUAGCAAUACCCAGUCGAGCGGCGAACGGGUGAGUAACGCGUGGAUGACCUGCCCUGAGGUGGGGAAUAACCCGGGGAAACUCGGGCUAAUACCGCAUAUGACCGUGAGGUCAAAGGAGGGGUCGCAAGAUCUCUUGCCACGAGGGAGGGGU